rnacentral:tRNA from 1 species
GCCUUCGUGUUGUAGUGGUAAGCACUCUCGCAGCGUAAUUCGAGAGGUCCGUGGUUCAAAUCCCGGCGAUGGCG